rnacentral:rRNA from 1 species
GGCGGCGUGCCUAACACAUGCAAGUCGCACGAGAAAGGGGAGCAAUCCCUGAGUAAAGUGGCGCACGGGUGAGUAACACGUGAAUAAUCUACCUCCGAGUGGGGAAUAACUGAGAGAAAUCUUAGCUAAUACCGCAUAACACUUACGAGUCNAAGCAGCAAUGCGCUUGGAGAGGAGUUCGCGGCCGAUUAGUUAGUUGGCGGGGUAAUGGCCCACCAAGACGAUAAUCGGUAUCCGGCCUGAGAGGGCGCACGGACACACUGGAACUGAAACACGGUCCAGACUCCUACGGGAGGCAGCAGUGGGGAAUUUUGCGCAAUGGGGGAAACCCUGACGCAGCAACGCCGCGUGGAGGAUGAAAUAUCUUGGUAUGUAAACUCCUUUCGAUGGGGAAGAUUAUGACGGUACCCAUAGAAGAAGCCCCGGCUAACUUCGUGCCAGCAGCCGCGGU